rnacentral:rRNA from 1 species
AUGCCCACCCGAACCAAGCACAUGGACGAAAUCUCGGACGAGCUCGAGGCGCUGCAGACCGAGCUGACUGCGCUGGGUUUGAAGCAGGACAAGAUGCAAGAUCAGAUCGAUCAGGUGAACACACGUCUACAGACAGUCGAAUCCUUGGAAAAACAGUUGGGAAAGGUAGAGCUCUUGGUCGAGAACAACUCCAAGGUUCAGCAAGACAUCUUCGCCAUCCUACGCGAAAUGCGAGCAGAGAAUCCCAACCCUCCCUCCCCUGUUCCCCAAGCGUCUGCUUCCUUGGUUGUUCAACCCAACAACAGCUUGACAGGCAGAAGUGCAAGUCAGCAAACACAACCAGCAAUCAGUACUACAACACAACACCAAACUGACAGAGCGAUGCAAUUUAUGAAGAGCAUUUCCAAAGGCCCUAAGAUAGAUUUCCCUACCUUCAAUGGAGAUAACCCCCUUGGGUGGAUCAGACAGGUCAACAAAUAUUUCCAGCUUGCUCAAACUCCUGAUGAGUGCAAAGUGGAUUUAGCAUUGACUUAUAUUGUGGGGAGAGCUGAUAACUGGGUCAGAAGUGCCCGAAUGGAAAACAACAGAUUGCCCUGGCCAGAUUUUUGCAGAGCAUUGUGUGACAGGUUUGCUGAAUCCAGCAUUUAUGAGGUACUGGAAAAAUUCCACAAUCUGAAACAGAACACUUUGUCAGUAGCUACUUACACUGAUAAGUUUGAAGAAGUAAUGGUAGUGGUUAGAGAUGAGCACCCAUACUUGCAAGAAAAUUACUACAUUGUGAGCUUUGUCAAUGGAUUAAAACCCAGCAUCACAUGUAAUUUGAGACCACAAAGACCUGCAACUCUCAGUCAGGAAAAAUAUCAGUCAUACCUCAACCACCAAGAAAAACAGUCUCAAGCUCAUUCUGGAGAAGCUAAAGCUACUCUUCCUUCAGCUCCCAACUUACAAAUUCCUCCACCAGCAGCAGCUACAAGGAAACAGGGGUUUGUUGGAGAUGCAAUGGACCUUAGUGAAAAUGAAUCUGAAGAUAUAUCCCCUGAAGAAGAAGCACAGCUAGCAGUAUUAACUGCAGAAGGGCAAUUUACAGAGCUAGCAGAUAAAUGCAUGCAUAUUUCUGCACAAGCUAUAUCUGGGGACUCCUCUGAAUCCACUAUAGCAGUGAGCACUUUCCUGGGAGGCAGAAAAGGAGUAGCACUAAUAGAUACAGGAAGCACUAAUACAUUCAUUGACCUCAAAUUUGCUCUGAAUGCUAACUGUCAAUUGGUCAAUACCCCCACUCAAAAAAUGACAGUGGUUGGGGGUGGCUCACUAAACUCGGGAGCUAUUGCUCCUAACACAAAUUUCAGAAUAUACACUGAAGAUUUCUCGAAUGAUCUAACAGUGCUGGAUUUACAGGGCUAUGAUAUUGUUUUAGGGUGUGAUUUUCUGAAGAAGCACAUCCCUUUAUCAAUGGACUUUGAUACAAGAACUGUCACUAUCAACAAGGACAAGAAGUACUCUGUAACAUUUGCAGAUUGUACAGUUGCACAACCACCCAAGCUUAUUUCUGCAGAAAAAACAGAGCUGGGAUCAAACGAGUUAAGUGACCAUCGACGGCUCUCCCGUUUCCUGUUCACCGUCACCCGUUGCCGCCACCAGCUUGACAGUAACAGUGACGGCAACGACUCCUUCCGUUCCACGCCAUCGCCACCUGCUCCCACCUAUGAAGGCCCCGUCCACCGAUCUGGAAAUCAUCUUUCCCCUUUCUCCAAGUGGUUCCACAAGCAGGCACCAAGCAGGGCAACCACCGGGAGUACGAGAGAGCUAGGAGGGAAUGGCGAUGGUGUGUGGGAGCGAGAUCCCGAUCUGGAAUUCUGGAUCGGGGAGGGAGAGAGGCAGGGGAGAGGGGAAAACGGAUUCCGUGCCUCCGCCAAGGGCGUCGGCGUCGGCGUCUUAUCGAUCAUCUCCAUGCAGCGGGAGCAGCGCCGCCGGCAAACGCGAGCCCGUGGCUCUCCCCCGCCCGAGAAGAGGAUUCAGUAUUUCUCCACGGCUGCCAUGCCAGAUUCUGUUCGUUUGGGCGUGAAGUCUUGCUUUGUUCCUAAAACAAGGUCACCAGCCCUCCAACAAGAUGGUGAUUCUAAAGGUGGCAAAAAAAUGAAAUAUCUGCCAGAUCUUCCGGAGGACAUUUGGUGGCAUAUACAUUCACUAAUGCCAAUGCGAGAUGCUGCCCGAGCUGCCUGCGUUUCUCGUACCUUUAUGCGUUCCUGGAGACGCCAUACCAGCCUCACCUUCAGUAGAAAAACACUAGGCAUGGAUGAUAAUGUGUGUGAAAUGGAUGGAAAAGCAAGGGAUCUCACCGGCAAAGUUGACAAAAUUUGGAUACAACACCCAGGCAUUGGUGUGAAGGAAGUCAAAAUUAAGUUCUUUGAUUACAAGACCAGGGCCUAUUAUCUUGAUCGUUGGCUUCAGAUUGCCGUCACACCUGGGAUUGAAGAACUCACCGUUAUUCCUUCUGUGAGCAAACAAAAAUUCAACUUCCCAUGUUCACUUCUAUCUGAAGGAGGUGGAAACUCGAUUCGGUGUCUGAAUCUUUACCGGUGUGUGUUCUGUCCUACAGUCAGACUUGGUUUGAGAAGUUUGACUCAACUUGAGCUGUUUGAUGUCCGUAUUACAGGAAAUGAGUUAGCCUGCCUUCUAGACAAUUCUGUUGCUUUGCAGCAGUUGGCACUCAUGUAUUGCAGUAAGAUUAUUAGACUGAAGAUACCUUCCCUGCUGCAGCGGCUCAUCACCCUUGAGGUGUCUAACUGUAAGAGGCUGCAAGCGAUAGAGAUCGAAGCUCAAUGUCUCUCCAAUUUUCGGUUUACCAGUGACCACCUAGUACAACUCUCGUUUGGAGAAGCAUUACAGUUGAAGACCCUAGUCAUGCAGUGUCGUGGUGCUCUCUGUUAUGCUCGUGCCAAUAUUCCAUCCAGCUUGCCAAAUCUUGAAACUCUUUCUGUAUAUUCACAUUAUGAGACAUUCAUCCUGAAUGCGGUGUGGAACAGCAUGCGGCAUACAUCCAUUUUUGCAGAUCCUUCAGGUCGGAGGCAGAUGCCAGAGCACCACCAUGACAAGCUAAAGAGUGUGACUAUUACUGGUUUCUCCUCUGCAAAGUGCUUGGUUGAGCUAACAUGUCACAUUCUUGAGAGUACAAAGUCACUUGAAUAUCUUACACUGCACACCACCGACGGAGAUAGUGUCUCUAGGUGUUCUGUCAACGGAUCAGACAAAUGCUGUGGCUGCCCCAUGGGCAGGGAUGCCAUCGUUGAAGCUCGGCAAGGGCUCUUGGCUAUCAGGACAUACAUCGAGGGAAUUGUUCCGUCUAAAGUGAAGUUCACUGUUGUGGAGCCUUGCAGCCAGUGCCAUGUUGUUGAGGGUCUGAUGAGGGCCAGGGAUUCCUUUCUCAAAUCUGGGUGUUUUCAAAUGGGAACCUGUCAGCCGCAGCUCACGUUGCAACAUCUUGGCUUGUCGGUUACAACAAAAUCGACUGGUUCCAUAAAAAAUCGUCUUGCUGCUGAGCCACCGCAGCUCGCCCUGCUGCCCGUUGCAGCUCGCCGUGUUACCGGUUCUAGCAAUUCAUUCAGCUCGCCAUGCUGCCUGUUGCAGCUCGCUGUGUUACCGAUUGAGCGUCCCAAAACACCUGUCCCCUGCGUCGCCUCCAUGGCGGCACGGGCGGAUCCACAUCGAGCGCCGCCUCCAACCCUCUCUGCCUCCCUACCUUCCCUCGCCGCUGCCGGAGGAGGCCGUCGGGCUAAGCCCUGCCGGCGGAUGGCGGCGGCGGGGCCUCUCUGCAGCGGCAAGAUCUCGCGGUGGGGGAGGCUCGCCUCCUUGUGGCGCGGCACUGCGGCUACGGGGUGUGGCGACCACGAGGUUGCGUCUCCAGCGGGUGGCGGCCGCGGCGACGUCGUCGGUAGGCUUCGGGGCCGCGGUCUUGCAGAUCCUUCCCGACGAGUCGGGGUCGGGGGUAGCGGCCCCACUUCCCAGCGUAUCUUCUGGUCGUUCUUCUCCAAUCCGGUUCUUGCUGGUGGUCAUGGUGUUGCGUCAAGGGGGCGCCAAAUCCGGCGGCUCUUAGGCCGGAUCCGGGUCGUCCGCGCCUGCCAGAGGGUUGGUCAUCCUGGUGGCCUCGGCUGCAGCAGCUGGGCGGAAGUGCGCUAUGGGGUGUGCGGGCCAGCUUCGGCCGGCUGCGCGAGGGUGUUCAUCGGGUUUGCUCCGAGCUCAAGCUUUGCCCGGCCGACGGUGGUGGCGCCUUUGGGCGUCGUUCCCCUUCUUGAAGGCACCGUCAUUGAGUUCUUCGACCCGCUCCAUCCUCGGAUCUCGUUCUUCAGGCGAAAGCCUAGACCCAUCUGGGCCGGGCAACGACGUUGUCUCGACGGCGUUUCCCUCUUUAGGGUGUUGCUUUGA